GAGUUGGUUUUUUUGGGUUUUUUUUGUUUUUUUGUUUUUUUGUUUUUCUUUUUGCAAGGAAGAGGAGGAAGGGAAAGGUGAGUGUGCGAAAUAACAAGGUAAAAGUGUGGGAAGGGAGAAAGCUCCAGAAAGCUCCGCGAAGCUUUUCCAUCCUCACCUUUGAAACUUCGUUCACUGCUGAUAGUUUUCCAGCUCCUGUUCCACAUAACCACAGCAGAUCAGCCAUGUUUGUAAAUUAAAGGCGCUCUCAGCUGCUAAAGUAUCAAGUUGAUUACUUUUUGUCCCAUAGGAAAUCUUUGCGGGUUUUUGAUAAUCAGCUACCUUAUGAAACUAGCAUAAAACAUAGCAAAAAGGUUGUAGAGAUUUCUAAAGAUAGACUCCUUUAUUCGGUGCUUCAGGAAAGUUCAUCUCCAUUAGGCUUGACUGCUUUAAGAUUUGUCAGGUCACAGAGCUUAUAUCUACAAUACUCCUUCAUGAGUAUUUCAAGGAAAGUGCAGUUUCUUUCCUGGGAAAAGAACUCUAUGCUAAAAAUCGUUCAAGGCAGGGGAAUUUGAGUCAACAGAUACCAUCUCUCAAAUGUGAAUUCCCUAAAAACCUAUGCUUGUUUAAAAAAUGCUGUUUAUUUUUUAGCAAAACUUUGUGCUCCUUCCUGGGGUAUUGCAUUAAAAAUUGUAUUUCAAAAUGCAAAAAUAUGUGUGAGUUGCAUGAGCAGAGUUAGGCUGCAAUUCUUCAAAUUAUGGGCAGCUCUUUGCAGAGUUUGGACUUCAGCUUGGUUGGCUGGAGAUUUUUUGAUUGAUCAAGGAAGUCAGGGAAGUCAGGAAACUCAGGAAAAUAAUAGUGAGUUACAUAUUUUACAUAAAAGCAAUUUCUUAUUGUGUAACUCAGAGUUGUGAGUUAUACUUGAGAAAGUAUAGCAAUGUUUAUAUUCAAAACAUAGACAAAGAGAAAUAUCUAUGGGUCAAGGAGAUAUAAAAUGAAAAAUUUCUGCCAUAAAACCUUAUCAAAGGCCUUCAAGCCUGCAAAUAAAUAACACUCCACAUCUGUCCCUUCCAACAGAUCCAUUCUUUGCUCACACCAGGAACUUCUUAAAUUUCAGGACAGGCAAGGAGGAGCAAAGCAAAACAUCUGUGGAGAGAAAAGUCAACAAAUUUCAAGAGCCAAAGUGUCGUUUGGUCUAAAAUCAGAGAGGUCAGGUUAAGGAAUCCUCUGUGCAGGAUCAUAAGCACCAGUUGGGAGCCAAGUACAAAGGAAAGGGAGAGAGAGAGCAUCUGCACAACAUAAAAUCUGCCAGUUUACAGCUUUAUGAUCAGUUUAACUAUUUCUUCAAGUAACAGCAAGCUGAAGAGCACUAUGUUGCAACCAUGCAAUGAUAAAUGCCAGUUUAUUAUUACAUGUAUUUAUCCUCAUCAGAAUAUUACACAAGAGCUAUGAAAUGUAAAUUGAGAUCCCUCUCUGGACUUUAUAAUCUGAAUUGAUUAUUAUAGUUUAACUAAAUGUCUGUACACAACUAAAAAAAUCACCAUCUAAUUAGUUUGUGGGGCGAUAUCACUGUUGUUCAGUGCCUAUUAUAAUAAUUUCCUAAGAAAAGAGAUUCUUCUGAAAUUUCAUUUCAGCAUGUACAUUCUUGGAGAAGACAAUUACAGUGUUUUUUAUUGCUCCUUCCCCCCAGUUCCUUCCUGGUAUUACAAAGUACCAGGCAAUCAAAAUGGUCCUCGUUGCAAGGUACAGAAUCAUUGAUAUAAUUUUUUCCUAGCAUAGGUUUCUAAUGAGCUUUGAACAAUUAUGAGGAUAGAUGAGAAUCUCAGUUUCUUAAACAAGUGUAACUUCACAUUUACCCCGAGUGAGUGCAGCAAGUAUUGCAAGGAGAUUAGACAUUUCUUGGUCUUUGACAAGCCAAGCCAAUGAGAAAAUGGAAUGCCGUGGUACAGAGUAGAAUGUCCAGAGGUUAAUAAAUCUGAGCUGUGACAGAUUAAAGAGAGGAGCAAAUUCAAAGCAAAAAAGCUCUUCACAGCACACCCUGCCUACAACUUCCUCUCAACAGAGACACUUCCUCAGCAACUUGACAGGCUGAAAGUGCAACCCAGUAAAGAGAUGUAGUCCAAGACAUCUCUCAGGUUCCUCCUGGUAUUCCACAGCUGCUUCAGCAGCAAAAGUCUUUGCCCUUUCUAUUCCUGAAAGUGAUUUCAAGCUGUAAUUUGAAUUCCACAUUACUUGGCUCUGAGAAGACAAAGGCUUCCAUGAGGAUUCAAGAAAAACUGCUGUUUCAGAGGAAUCUGGGAAACAGCUGCUCCAGGAGCUUGCACAAAGCUGUCAUAGGUCAGUGGAAAAGGGACAAGAAAAUUGAGUGCCUCCUGCCUAGCCAGAAAAGACACCACAUCAGCUGCCCCCAAGACCAAGGUCCCAGAAGGGUUUGGCUGCUCCAUGGUACAAGCUUCACUGACCUCAGGAGCUGCCUGAACUGAAGUGCGCACCAGAUGGCACGGCUGGCUUUGGAGAAAAGCAGGAGCUCCAGGACAGUCUGGAUGCCACAAAGGGGGAGCAGAACAAAACAGGAAACUCUGUAAAUUCAUACUUUUCUUAGAACCAUAAUUGUCAUAACACAGAGGUUUUUUUAAAACUUGAGCUAUCACCUAUGCCUGGUAUAUGGCCCCACAUUCAUGCACUUCCAUCCCUCACACUGACAUCAGCUAGGAUUAGUGGUACCCUUCCAUCCAGCUUUCCAGGGGCUGUGAACAGUCUGUCACACCCUCCUAUUACCAGCUCUGAUCUAUGCCAGGAGCUAAAGGCAGAGGGUCCAGACACCUGGACAGGCUACUCAAAAGAACGUACCAAGGUCUACAGCAAAGAGGUCCAAAGCCCUGCCAAGAAGGGGGUGUGGGCAGGAAUUAGAAGAGCACAGAAGCAUCAUCAGAGCCUGGUUGUGCGGGGUCCUUCCCCAAUUUAAACAAAAAUGCACAGCAGCUAAUAGCUUAAUAAAAGUGCUUUAAUAAUAAGAUACUAAUAAGAAGAGGAAUAUAGACUGUAAUUGCUAGAUCUCUUCAUCCUGGGAACCCUGCUUUGGUGGAGCAUUGAAUAGACCCAAUGAAGCAGUGCAGUUCUCAGACUCUCUGUUUUGAAAGGAAAUACAGAACUAUUUUAUUAUAUUGCAGUAAAUAUAUCACAUGCCUGUAUUGUGCCUAAGCAUACAUGCCUGACUACACAUGCUUGACUACAGAGACCCUGCUUGUAACUCUGGGCUCUUCAUGGCCACCAAAGCAGGAGAUGCAGGCAGCAAGAGAUACUGGGUGUCUGCAAAGGGUGGCAUGGUUUGGAAACAGGUUAUUAGAGCUGCACUGAUUCCACACUGCAAAGUAAGUGGUGAUAGUUUUCUGUUGAUUGGUUUCUGCUGUUUUCCUCCUAGAAUAGACUCAUUGGUAUCAAUGAUGUUGAAGGCAAGACUCAGCAUAUUUUCUGUGAUACAGGUCACAUGCUGGAAACUGGUUAUUAUUCAGUAGGACUGACUGGAUUGGAUGGUAUACUGAAUUAUGGCAAAUACAAUCCUCCCCAAAAGAUCAGAGAAAAUUCACAAUAAUUUUUCCUUUGUUGAAAAAAUGGAACCUGUAGGCAAGGGUGAAAUAUUGUUAAUACAGGUGAUUGGCAUAAUGCUCUUCCCAGUGUGCGCAUGAGACUUCUUAUGUUUUGAUUAAACAUUGCAAGAACUUGAAGGCGUCAGUAGUCAAUGCAGGCUAAGGAACAACCACCAUAAAGUUCACAAGAGACAUCUUUAACAUGAAAAACAAAUGUUAACAGCAUGAAAAACUUACUGUUCAUCUCACAGCUGAUCUUGUGGGAAAAACUUGUGGAACUUGGAGGAUCCAAAUCCAUCACCUCCAAAUUUGUUUUAGGAAGCAGUGAGAAUAUGACUUGGCCUUCAGAGAGAUGUGAAAGCUAAAUGGCAUUUAAUUUAUGCUUCUAACAUCUCAGAUAGUUCUGAAUGGAUCAGAAAUUUAUAACUUAGCUCAUACUUUUAAACCACAAUUAAUUUGUGAGAGCAGUUGUAUUUUGUGGAUAAUUAUUGCUUCCUUAUUAUUUUGCAAAAAUUAUUAAACAGGAGUUAAUCAGUUAAUCAUACCCUCUGAUCUUUUCUUCUGGGAAUUUGCAUUUCUUUUCAAACGUAGUCGGCUAUGCAGUUGGGAAAAGAUCUGUAGGACACCAGUGUUGUUCUGGUAGUUGAUCUUUUACUAGCAAGUGGUGAGUUUUUCCUGCUCAAAGAAUACAACUGCUUAUGCAAAAAAAAUCUGUGUUAAAAGAUCUUGGUGUGAGAUUAGUUAAGGAUUCAUUACUUUUUUUUGUAGAUUAUAUAGAGAUAAUGCAAGAAACAAAACUUCGAGACGGCAUAAGAUGAAAGCCAAGAGCUUAAAUAAGUGGUCUUAGUCCAACCUGUGGAACAAUGAACAUCUCCAAAUGUCUUCUGCAGCUUUUAAAAUUAAGUAAUUUAUUUAUACACUUAAACACAAAUUAGAUGUCAGCUUUAAACUUCUGUUAUAGAAAUUUGCCAUAGAAUCCAAUUCAAAAGGCAAUUUAACUUUAUUAAUGUGGGAGGAAAUGUGAGCAUAAUGUGAGCUAUUUUUUAACCUUAACUGCCAUUCCUGCUGUUGCAAGAAAGUGCCUUACACCUAUCUGGAAAGCCAUUAUUAGCAAACUGAAUAAUUUAUCACUUCCAAUUUACAAGAAAUUAGCCCUUCCUAAGAGUAAAACCAGAAGCCAUUUAAAAAAUAAUAAUUCAAAAACUUAUGUCAGGUUCCUAAUUUGAGGAACAGUAGGAGUGUCCUGAUGUGCAAUUCAGAGAGCAUUAUUUUAGAACCAGAACCAGCUUUUCCUGUCUAUAAAAGCAGGUGACUGUGCUUUGCUGCUACCUUAUGGGCACUUUUACAGAUGUUUGAACUGAAUUUUCACAGGUAGAGAAAAGUGGGAAAUUGUGACUUGGAAAUCUCCGUGCUUCACCUUUAUAAUGCUAUUUAGAGACAUCCUCUACUAUUCAAAUAUUACCAUUAAUAUAUAGGAUGGAAACAGACUUAUCGCUUACAUCUCUCUUUAAAAUGAACUCUGCAUUAUUUGAAAUGUAUUACUUUUGAAUUAAAUACUCUUAUAUUUAACUAACUACAGGUAGUUAUGGGACCAGCCUUUGUGUUGAAAAAAUAGCCUUGACUGGGAAAACAGGGGAAAUCAGAUGCCCUAUUAUUCAUAAAAAAUAAACACAUUUUAUUCAUAAAAAGAAAUACAUAUGGCAAAGGACAAAGUUUAUGGGGCAAUCUUUGGUUAAUUCCUGUCAAGUGAAAUUGCACUGAAUAGAAUUUAUUUUCAGAUUCCCUUUCUAUCUACAUAGCUGUCCACAGUGCAAAGUCUGAGUUAAAUGCUGCCGAGGCUGACAGUAGUGCUCACUGUCUCUUUUGUGCUGGGUAAACAAAGGCUCAUCAGUGAAGAAGCAGUCUAACAGUUUUUAAUACCUAGUGAGGUAUCAGCUCCACUUUAAAAAGAAUAAUAAUAAAAAAUUUAUUAGGUAUUGGAAA